AUGGUUGAUUAUGAGGAAUAUAUUGACAAGAUACUGGCUAAAGUUCGUUGCUGGAAGCUUGGACUCAUGGGUCUGGAUGGGCGCCUUAUACUUGUCAAGCAAAUCUUGUCUGCGAUGGUGGUUUUCCAAAUGAUUGCCCUGUCACAACCGAUUUGGCUACAUAAAAUUGUUGACAAACUCCGAAGAGGCUUUCUUUGGGAGAGCAAGGAAGCUGCCGUUGGGGGCAAAUGCUUGGUAAGCUGG
rnacentral:rRNA from 1 species